AGAGUUUGAUCAUGGCUCAGGAUGAACGCUAGCUACAGGCUUAACACAUGCAAGUCGAGGGGAAACGACAUCGAAAGCUUGCGUUUGAUGGGCGUCGACCGGCGCACGGGUGAGUAACGCGUAUCCAACCUGCCCAUCACUUGGGGGAUAACCUUGCGAAAGUAAGACUAAUACCCAAUGACGUCUCUAGAAGACAUCUGAAAGAGAUUAAAGAUUUAUCGGUGAUGGAUGGGGAUGCGUCUGAUUAGCUUGUUGGCGGGGUAACGGCCCACCAAGGCGACGAUCAGUAGGGGUUCUGAGAGGAACGGUCCCCACAUUGGAACUGAGACACGGUCCAAACUCCGUACGGGAGCA
rnacentral:rRNA from 1 species